rnacentral:rRNA from 1 species
GAUGAACGCUGGCGGCGUGCCUAAUACAUGCAAGUCGAGCGAACAGAUGAGGAGCUUGCUCCUCUGACGUUAGCGGCGGACGGGUGAGUAACACGUGGAUAACCUACCUAUAAGACUGGGAUAACUUCGGGAAACCGGAGCUAAUACCGGAUAAUAUAUUGAACCGCAUGGUUCAAUAGUUAAAGACGGUUUUGCUGUCACUUAUAGAUGGAUCCGCGCCGCAUUAGCUAGUUGGUAAGGUAACGGCUUACCAAGGCAACGAUGCGUAGCCGACCUGAGAGGGUGAUCGGCCACACUGGAACUGAGACACGGUCCAGACUCCUACGGGAGGCAGCAGUAGGGAAUCUUCCGCAAUGGGCGAAAGCCUGACGGAGCAACGCCGCGUGAGUGAUGAAGGUCUUCGGAUCGUAAAACUCUGUUAUUAGGGAAGAACAAAUGUGUAAGUAACUAUGCACGUCUUGACGGUACCUAAUCAGAAAGCCACGGCUAACUACGUG